AGGCUCACACAUUGGAAGAAAUGGAGCGGAAGUGGAUCUGCUGAGCACACUCUUUCUUCUCCCAAACUCAAUAGUGAGAGCAGUCACUCUUUGUCACAGAGGAAGGAAUAAAUGGAAAAGGCCUUUCAUCUUGGACUGGAACCCUGACGUUGGCUCUCCUGGGUCUCCAGCUUGCUGAUUAGAGGUCUUGGGAUUUGUCUGCCUCCAUAAUCAACCUGCAUGGGGCACCAUAAAUUCACACCAUGGAGAGCUGUCUAAGGGUAUUUGCGCUGCUCCCUCAACGUAGACUUGAAAGGCUCCGUGUUUUGUCUCCACUCAGCGGCCAAUCCAGAGGCACCAGCCAGAGAAGACAGGUCGCGUGCUACAAACAACUGGCCACCCACCUUUCCAGGAACACUGACGACUUU
rnacentral:lncRNA from 1 species